UAGCCUAGAGUUCUUAGCACUAUAGAUAAUAUUUGGAAAACUUAAAUAAUUUUAAAUGGUUAUCCUCAUUGGUUAUAAUUAAGUAAGUCUGUGAGGUCAGAGAGAUGGCUCAAAGGUUAAGAGUACUGGUUGCUCUUCCAGAGGACCCAGGUUACAUUCCCAGCACCCACAUAAAACUCACAGCCAUAUCUAACUCCAGAUCCAGGGGAUCCUAUACCCUCUUCUGAUCUCUGCAUGCACAUGUUGCACAAAUAUAUAUGCAGGUCAAACACCCAUAAAUAUAAAAGAAAAUAAUUAAGACCAUGGGAAGAAGAGAGCAUCUCUUCUAGCUAGUGUCAAGGCAUUAUGCUGCUGCCCUCUCAGCCCUGCCCAGUGCACAGCAAACUACAAAUUUAAGGUUUGUCUCAACUGCGCAUGACUAUCAACACCAUUUUCAAAUGGUGCAAAGUUGCUUCAUAGCUGUCACAUUAUAGUAAUUCUUACAAUAUUUCAAACUAUAAUUAUCACUGUAUUGGUUUGAUCACAUUAUUUUGGGAUAUCCUGACCUAUACACAUAGAACACUGCAAACUUACUCACAUAAAUGCAUUUUGAUUGCUCCAUGACUCUUUGUUCCCCAGUCUUUGUCUCUUUAGAUCUUCCUAUCCAUUGAGAUGCAAUAUUAAAAUUAGACCAAUUAACAACCAUACAGUGGCUCUUAAGUGUUAAAGUGAAAGAGUCUUUUGG
rnacentral:lncRNA from 1 species